rnacentral:rRNA from 1 species
AGAACGAACGCUGGCGGCAUGCCUAACACAUGCAAGUCGAACGAGACCUUCGGGUCUAGUGGCGCACGGGUGCGUAACGCGUGGGAAUCUGCCCUUGGGUUCGGAAUAACAGCGAGAAAUUGCUGGCUAAUACCGGAUGAUGACGUAAGUCCAAAGAUUUAUCGCCCAAGGGAUGAGCCCGCGUAGGAUUAGCUAGUUGGUGAGGUAAUGGCUCACCAAGGCGACGAUCCGUAGCUGGUCUGAGAGGAUGAUCAGCCACACUGGAACUGAGACACGGUCCAGACUCCUACGGGAGCAGCAGUGGGGAAUAGUUGGACAAGUGGGCGACAAGCCUGAUCCGAGCCAUACCGCGUGGGUGAAGAAGGCCUUCGGGUUGUAAAGCCGUUUU